rnacentral:rRNA from 1 species
AGUCGAGCGAGAAGCGGGGGUAACUCCGCGAGUAAAGCGGCGCACGGGUGAGUAACACGUGGGUAAUCUGCCCUCUGGCGCGGGAUAACGUUCCGAAAGGAGCGCUAAUACCGCAUAAGACCACGAUGACAUAGGUCAUUGCGGAAAAAGGACCGGGAAACCGGUUCACCGGAGGAUGAGCUCGCGUCCCAUUAGCUUGUUGGUAGGGUAAUGGCCUACCAAGGCGAUGAUGGGUAGCUGGUCUGAGAGGACGGCCAGCCACACUGGGACUGAGACACGGCCCAGACUCCUACGGGAGGCAGCAGUGAGGAAUAUUGCGCAAUGGGCGAAAGCCUGACGCAGCAACGCCGCGUGAGGGAUGAAGGCCUUCGGGUUGUAAAGCUCUGUAGGGAGGAAAGAUGCCCCA